AUUUAAGUAGUUUAAAAAAAACUUUAUAUUUUCAAUAUAAAAAUAAUAAAUCCUAUUCUUAAAU
rnacentral:tRNA from 1 species